rnacentral:rRNA from 1 species
UACGGAGGGAGCUAGCGUUGUUCGGAAUUACUGGGCGUAAAGCGCACGUAGGCGGCGACUCAAGUCAGAGGUGAAAGCCCGGGGCUCAACCCCGGAACUGCCUUUGAAACUAGGUUGCUAGAAUCUUGGAGAGGUCAGUGGAAUUCCGAGUGUAGAGGUGAAAUUCGUAGAUAUUCGGAAGAACACCAGUGGCGAAGGCGACUGACUGGACAAGUAUUGACGCUGAGGUGCGAAAGCGUGGGGAGCAAAC